UGCAGCCUGUACCUGAGCACAAACAUUAGUGAUUUCGAUUUUUCCAGCUGAUCUGCAACCUUGUGGGAUUCAAAGCUAUCUUCUCUCAAAUGAAGAUCUUCCAUUUUAUUUCUUAAAAAAAUAAAAACAAAAAGUUUUAAAAAUGGCCGAGGAAGGAUUUGUAUGGUUUGCCAGAAGAAGUUUGGAAAAGAUUUAUCCUGUCUCUCAAAUUCAAAAUCCUUGCAAGCACCACGGCUGGGAAUUCAAACAAAAUAAUCUGUGAGUUGAACAUGUGCUUCAUCCUGGUUUUCAAAACGAAGGGGAAACUUUCAGCCAACAGACAUCACAGACCAAGAGGAGUGAAGGACAGUGACCUCAGAUGAGCUUCGGGGUGAAGCCUGGUGAGGAGGGGAGGUUGUCCUGCCCUUGGAGAAAAUGUCCAUGUGGGCAACCCUCAGGAAUCUGUUUCACUUUAAAGGAGAAAAUCCUACAGUGAUUCUGAAAGACAUAUGAUUGCUGUGACCAAGAGAAGCAAGAAAAUACAAGGCAGCUCCGCCACUGCAGUGCCAGGCAUGUGACCUUGAAAAAGACCAUGGAGACGCCAUCUCCACUGGACAAAGCUGGAGAGCACAGGGCCUUGGGGAAUUCCAGAGGGCCUUAGGGUGGUACCUGCAUUUCACCAUGGACUUUGGAGUUUUACCAAGAUGUGCCACACAAGCCCUCAGCACUCGUGGGCUCCUGUCUUUUCUAGGGCCGAGGGGCAGCACCACCUCAGUUGGUCAGACGACCCCAGGGAAGGACCUUGGUCCCCCAAGGGAGGUUCAGGAGCAGGAGCAGGACCAGGCCUGACAGGCAGCAGCAACUCCUUGGGCUCACUUCUUGAGACGGGCUCUCAGGCAGGAGCCAGAAAGGGCAGAGCAUAUUUUACCUGGAAAGAAAUAGGGCAACUAAGAGGAAGUGAGGGAUGGCGUGAUGGUACCAGCUGGUCAAGGCUGCCUAUCUCCUCGCUCAUCACCAGCUUCCACCAGAAAAGCCAGACCCGCUUCAGAUGGAGUCACUCUCUCUAGUUAUUCUCUUUAGAAAGAGGAACGAAACUGUUUCCUUUUAAAGCUUCAGAAAGCAAACUGCCUAUAUGGCCUGAAGAGGAAAAGAAAUGAUGGGAUGUUAAAAGUCACAGCUGGCAAGAGGAUUCAUUUAGGACCAAGGCAGCCUGCACAGGCGGUGGCUGUCGCUUUAUGUCCCUCCUGACUCCAGGUUGUGAGCUCGGUUGGCCUCGCUCCCCUGGUGGCCCCAAGCUUAGAGAUAGUAGGAGGAGCUUCAUAAAUAAUGGCUGGUGUGAACCAGUGAACAGAUCACAAGUCCGCAGGAAGGGCCAGCUCGAGAGGAGCAUGAGAUUGGUUUCCAAAUAUUGGUCAAGAGCUCUAAGUUAGGAUGUGCCAAGGAUAGACUUAAUUUAAUGUGUUCAUAUGCCUGGGUGGCUUUUCUGCUUCUAGAAGCCUGAGGGGAAGACAAGGUAAUGCACUGGGGUCGUCCUGGGAGGAGAGAACUAAACAAGGUUAGGGAAGGUCUCUAAGGGGGACGUGAGCUCUGCCGGUGCAGCUGCCUUCUCUACCCCUUGGGCCUCCAUGCCUGCCUGCCUGCUGGCAGUGUUUGACCAAAGGUGAUACUGACUUAGUGGACUAAGGUCAUGCCCUCCCUUCCCCCACAAUCGAUCAUUUAAUGUGACUUAUCAGAAAGAGAAAGAACUGUUUACUUUUAAGCCCUGAAUCCCAUAAAGGGAGAGGGGAAAGGCCUAAAAGCCACAGAAGCUCAGGGCUCUCACCCACAACUUCCUCCUGCACAGCUGGCAGAUAUAGGGAACAUGGACCCAACCAUCCUGCUGGCCAGAGGAGCGCCCCUGGGCUUGAGAAGACCAGUACAAAAUGAGGUAAGUGCCUCUCUCCAGGGGCCCAGCAGAAUGAGAGUGAAUUGCUAACUCAGGUGUUUAAAGACCCACACAUCACCUGAGCAUCCCCAAGUGUCGAACACACUAUGUUUGAAUUUUCUGCAUGACUCUUCUUCACUUUCUUCAGAAAACCUGGGGGAAACUGAAGACUUUAUGGAAGAUUCUUCUCAGUUCUGUGGAGAAGAAGGGUGAGGCUAGGGAUAAGUGGAGGGCCAGAGGCAAUGUGAACUUCCAUUUCUGCCCUGGAGUGACAGCACUAAGGUACUUCCCAUAUUACAAGAAUCUGAUUUAUUGAUAACACCAAGGGCUUCAAUCAGAAUUCCACCUGUGUGAGUGACUUAGGUUUAUUUGACCAGGAAUCCUUUCCUUUCCUGUGCUUUAGGGCAAGCACACAGGCAAAAUCCACUGUGCAUUGUUCUUGUACAUCUAAAGUACGGGUAUUGGAGCUGCUUCUUUUGUGUCUGUCUAACUUGUAUUGUUUCCUCAAUGGCUCUAGAAAUAGCUGACCACCUGUACAGAAAUAAUACUGGUCUCCAAGCCUCAGCCAUUGUUUUUAAAAGAGUCCACAACUUGGUGGAGAAUUUACCUAGAGAUUUGCUCUCCAGCCUUGGUUGGUGGUAAACACAAAUAAUAGAUGCAUGAAGAAGGAACUUUCCAGAUUUUCCUGGGUUUUUUUCCUUCUACCUGGGUUUCUAAGAGAAGAUGCUGCUUUGCCCUCUGUUGUCAAGAACCUUCUAUUUUAAAAGUUCCACGUGCUUUUAAAAUGACAUGACUCAGAAAUAUGAUACUGACUUCCUUUGUCUUCACCUAGACUAUAACAGCCUAAAAAAAAAUCAAAUCAAUGCAUUUAACACAUCUAUUUCAUAUGACAGUAAAUGUGGGUUUGGAAUAAAAGUGCAUCUUAUGUAUUUUUUUAAAGAAAUCUUUUUUUGGGGGGCGGGGGUUACUAAUAGGUUUUGCAGGAAGGAGGCAAUUCACAGUCCCUAAAGCACUCUCUCUCUUCUUGGCCCUGUGGGGUUGGCCUUUGAAUAGUCUUAGCUCCCAGGAAUAAAAUACUGAAGCAUAGAUAAGCGGAAAUCUGACCUGAGAAAGAAUAGCAGCUCUGCAGCAUUCCUGGCACUUGUGAGUCUAAUGUGUCUUGCUGGGAGGUUUAGUGUGCACAGAUACUUACAGGUGACAAUUUUGCUGAAACCAAGCCCUGCUUGUUUCUCAUACUCACAGUUCAAAGAGAAAACUGCGUUGAGAAUUGACCACAGCAGCUAGAAAUGCCCACAGAUUCAGUCUCACUUAGUUUCCUAGACAGCCAUUAGGAACAGCUUUAGUUUCAAUAGCCAUUGAGGAAUGCCUCACACUCAACCCCCCUGAAGGAGAUCUCAGGAAGUAAGGCACUCAGAGAGACAGUGGGCGAUUCGUAGGAUGAGAUCAGAGGCCUUGAGACGCUGAGAUCCUGCAGGACCUUAGCUAAGCUGUGGACAACUCUGUUGGCAUUUGAAUAAGUCACCCUGGUUGAUAUCCAACAUCUUUUCCUUAAGCAUUAUUUUCCCCCACAGGAAAAAACAGGUGUUAUUAUUUCCCAACCAUCUUAUGAACUCUGUGUGUGUGUGUGUGUGUGUGUGUCUGUUGGGACUUGAACCCAAGGCUUUGUGCAAUGCUAGGCAAGCAUUUCACCACUGAGCUAUUUCCCAGCCCCUCUAUUGGAUAUUACCCAGUAUACUUUAAUUUCAAUUGUUAAAUUUGAAAUAUAACUAUUAAAUAUAACUAUUUAAUCUGCAGAAUAAGAGACUGUGUGAAUAUAUAUAUGUAUAUAUGUGCAUAUAUAUGCAUAUACAUAUAUAUGAACAAGAGUAGCCCCUGGCAUUAAUCUGAGGACCCUCUCUCAGCAGCACCAACAUUUCAUGUUUGUGGCAGACUAGUAGGGUAUUUAAGUAAGGUGGAUCACAGCUUCUAAAUACCAGAAAAGAAUUUGGCAAGAAGAAAUUUUUAUUAGAGAAUCCAGAAGGGAAAAAAAAAGACUUAACAUUUUAAAAAAUCUAAGCAGGUACCGUGGAACACAUCUAUAAUCCCAGGUACUUGGGAGGCUGAGGCAGGAGGAUAGAAAGUGCUAGGCCAGCCUAGGCACCAUAGCAAGACUCUGAUUCAAAAUGAAAAAUAAAAGGGGCUGGGGAUGUAACCAGUGGUAGAGUACCCCUGGGUUCAAUUCUUCUCCCAGAACAAAUUUAAAAUUAUAAUUAUUUUUCUCAUUACAAAAGUAUUACAUAAAUUGCAAAAAUUAAUAAAUGCAGAGACGUGUAACCAUAAUUCUUCUACCCGAAGGUAGCUGCGAUUAACAUUUGAUGUUUUUGCUUCAGGGUAUAUACACUUUUCACAGCAAGGGGCUCAUGCCGUGUAUGUUGCUUUGUAAAUUACUUCUUUAUUCGAUAACAAAUCUUGAAUUUCUUUCCAAGUCAAAACCAUUUUUCUACAACAACAAUUAAAUAACCAUGAUGUAUUAGAAAUACAUAGCCCUUCUCCUAUAGUUAGACAUUUAGGUUGUUUCCAAUUUUUACUGCUAUAAACAAAAUCACUAUGGACAACUUUGGGGGUAAAUUUUUCUACAAAUUUUUUACUUUUUCCUUGACAUGGAUUUAUGGACCCUAGAAACAGAGUGGAGGAAUUUGGCUGAGACUUUAACUGUAAUACAUUAACUUCCUCCUCUCUUUUCUUCCUCCCUUGUUUAUUUUUCCUUCCUUUUCCAUUUGCAGAUUAUCCAAAGCCCAGAGCAAACAGAGCUCUCAUGGAGCAGUGAGCUCAGGAAAUGCACCAAGGCCCUGAGGAGUGGGCCAAGCCCUGACCCAGUGUGGCCUUCUCUGGGAAUAUCCUGGCAGGACCCUUUCCACUAAUGAACACUUGGCUUCUCCUCGCCUCUUCCCAAUCGAGCUGAGAUUCCUAGAGCCGCAUUGUGAUGGCAGCAACAUCCCUGGUGUGACCUGGAGGUGGAGAUCUCUGUUCUAAAUUCCUCCAGCUGACAAAGUAGAAUGAGCCGGUGGACUUGUUAGGAAGAGUAGCAAGGAAAGGGAAGGACACACAGUCCAUCACAUGAAGUGCUAAGGUCUGUGGUAGGGACUGGGGCCAGUUAGAACUCCAGGGUUUGCAUCCAUUGUCUGAGUCAAGUGAAGCCCACUGCAUGGGGAGUGCCACCUGAAAGACAGGUGGGUCAGCUGGCACUUUCCUGCCGCCUCACAAGUGACAGCGUCCUGGGAAGUCAAGCUGGGGCCACAGACCGGAACUGAAGGAAGUCAGUCAUGUAGUGGAACAUAAGUAAAUCUACAAAAAGGAAAGAGGAAAGGGGAAAAAAUAGGUGGGGUUCAGCACUCCAACCCCAUGGAAGCUGGGUUGCCUGGGGAUCAGGGGCAUUUUACCAAAAAAUACAGAAAAGUUCAUUCCCAGUUGCUCAGUCCAGGCCAGUUUCAUGGUUAAAGCAAGGCUCUGGUCAAAUGUUAACCACUCAGUUAUCCUGGGGGAGGGGGGAUAUAGCCCACCCCCUCAGCUGUCCCUUUUCCCAGCAUUUGGGGAAAAUGAAAGAGUAGGUAAAAUGUGCUUAUUUCCUUUCAUUCUCUAGUGUGGGCAGGGGUUCACAUAAUAGUUGGAAACCAUUUUUAACAGGAAAUCUGAGUGAAUCCAGAAGGGAUUUAUUCACAGAGCUCCCUUGCUACAAAAUGAGUAUUAUUAACCAAAACUUGACUCGUUCCCUCUUCUUUUCUCCUUGUUUAGCUGCCCCCAGCUGCCACCCACCACCGUAGUGGAAAACGAUGGUGGUGAAUAAGAUUUAAAGUUUGAGCCCAGCAGGCUGCCUCCCUAGCCAACAGAAGCCACUGAGAGGAGCUCAUGGCGAAAUGCUAUAUCGCCAUCCAAAAAAAGUCAUUCUAAUUUUCUUAGACUGCAGCUUUGAUCCCAUUUACUGAUGAUGGACUGGGAGAUAUGGUCAGAUGAGUUUGGGGGAGGAUCCAUUAAUCCAGUGUUAUUCCCAUUUAUAAUGUGGUCUUCUGCUAAGUAUUUGUGUUCUAAAAUCUGUUCCCUCUGGGGAUUCUUUCUCUCAGUCCUCUUAGAAAACUGAUGAAAAUAGAUUUGCCAUCCAUUUCCAAAGGGGGUCUUUGCUCCUCUCUGUGGGAGGCCUUUUCUGGGUGGUAGGAACGCACACCUGGCAGAGGAACCCUUUAUUACCUCUCCUCUCACAGAACACAACCCUUCCCUCCGCGAGUCCUUCUCUCUCCCUGUCGCUGAACUUGCUGGACAACCACGAUGCCUCUUUCCUCUGCUCAGGUCACCUAUAUGGAGCUGGCGAGGAUUCCUGAUGGCCGGCAGUGACAGUGGUGGAAUGUGGGGACGAAGAUGACUUCUUCCCAGCGACAGAUUUUCCUUAGCAGAGCUGUGGAGUGUGACAAUGGUGUUUGUGUCCAAACUAUCAAACGCCAUUAUCACACUAAAUAGCUACUGUUAGGCAAUCCUUCCGCUCAAUAAGUAUCUUGGCAUCUGUUCGGUCUGGGAAAGAAGGUUUGUCGUAUACCAGUGCUCUCAAUUUCUGAAUAAAAGUCUGGUGCUCUUGUGCUUAUGUGUCUGUCUGAACGCUGCCUCUCCCCUGCCAUUGUUAAAUAGAUGGUGAUUCUGAUGAUGGAGGAAGAAAAACCAGCUCAAACUUGGUUUCUCCUCUGUCUUCUCACAAUACAGAUGGCUUCUGGCACCAGAUGUGUGGGGAUUUCUUCCCACUAGCAAGUAAGCAAUUAAUUCUGCAGGUGACACCAACUGGGUGUCCUCUAAUCCACUGCAGUUCUGACACUGACUACCUGGAGACGGCACCAGAUUCCACAGAGUGGGAGGCUCAGUCCCCAAGACAGCCCCUUCCCUCCACUUCAGAUGCCAAUCGCAAGCCCCGGGUCAUUUUCCCUCGUGCUUCUGAGCUGCCAGCCUAAAUUAGAGGUCCCAACAACAGUCUCCUUGGGUUCAACUAAUUUGCUUGAGUGGCUCCCAGACUCAGGGAAAUGCUCACUUACAUCUGUUAAGUUGUUGUAAAGGGGACUAAAAAGGACAUAGAGGGAAAGACGCACAGCGCAAGGUAUGAGUGACUGAGCCUCCGUGCCCUCUCCAAGAGUGUCAUCCUCCAGGAACCUCCUCGUGCUCAGCCACCUGGAAACUCUCCAAACGCUAUUUCUUAUUUGUUCGUUUUGGUACCAAGGAUUGAAUCCAGGGGCACUUAAACACCAAGCUCCAUCCCCUGACCCCCCCCCCCUUUUUUUUUCAGAGACAGUGUCUCAGUAAGUGGCUUAGGGCCUCACUAAGUUGCUGAGGCUGGGUUUGAACUCCCAAUCCUCCUGCCUCAGCUUCUCAAGCCGCUGGGAAUACAGGUGUGCACCACUGGCCUGGCCUUUUGGAGUUUAUAAAAACUCUAUUGCGUAGGUAUGAGUGAAGCAUAGGCAAACGUGUCAAAAUGUGAUUGGAUAAAAAGGGGAUGCUCUUUUGCUAAGACUGGGUGGGAAACCCAGCAAGGUUGUCUGUUCCAAUUCUUCUUGGCCUCUGUGUGCAGAACUCCUCCUGCGGGCAUGGAGUAGGACGCCCUGGAAUGAAGAGGUUUUAAUGACCUGCCAUGAGACAAGGUAGGUCAGAAUUAUGAGCCAGGAACUGAGGGCAAAACCCCCAAAAUAUCAUAAUAUCACCAUAGUGAUGAAUUUUCUUAUUUUCCUGGGUUAAUGAAAAGAUUAGAGUCCCCCAGUGUACCCAGCACCAAGUUAGGUAUCUGGUAAUCAUUCAACCCAUGCUUGUUGAGUUGAGUGAAUAGUUUUGGAAGUAUGAGAUGCACAAAACUGAAACUGUGUUAAAUCUGGUUAUGCAAACCACAGGCACAGGGGUGUUAAAGUAAAUAACUCCUUUUCAUCAUAAAAAAAACCCCUUAUAAUAAAUUUGUACGUGGCUUAAAUAACCUUCCAGAAAUUCUAGAAUAUAUUUGAUUUCUACUGAUUUUAACCAAUUACCAGGCUGAUUGCGAAUUUGUAUGCAAGGUCCUUCUUUAAGUUUUGAUGAAUUACCAUCAGAAAAUUACAUAUAAACAGUAAUGUUAGUGGCCACGGAAAACCUGAACAUGUUAAAGCCCUGCAGCUUCUGAAAGAGUUGGCCCAACUGGGUGGUCUGGUUGGGAACACAUUCUCUUUCUGAGAGGCAUCCAGAGUAAGGAGCAGUUUCUCUAUGUGGCUAAGGCCUCCCUCUUGUGACUUGGCUACAUGAACUAAUCUGUUUAAUCAAAUUUGCAGGGUUGGAUCAACCAUCAGAAACAAAUUCAUUCUCUCAAUCAACCAUUUAUUUAUCAAAUAAAUAUGUAUAGAGUGACUCCCACAUGCCCAGCACUUUCCUAGACCCUGGAGAAAGUUUUGAAUUAAAUAUGCCUGACAUUAUUUCCAGAGAUAGACAUUCACUGGCACACAUUCUGUUUGGGAUCUUCUAAUGAUUCCAAUUGCAUUUACUGUGAAACCCAAUGAGCAAGUUGAUUCCAAGUUCCUUGCUAGAAAGCACCACAGAAAUGCAGCCCACACUGUCAAAAAGAGACCCAGACCCUCUCCCCCAUGAAAUAAUUAACACACUUUCCUUUGUAUGUGUGUGUUUUCUGGAGAGAUUACUAAUUGAAUGAGCAUUGCUAGAGGGCUUUACUAUUGCAGGAAAGUUACUCUCAUGCACACUGUUUGAUUUGAUCUAUACAACACAGGGGAAAGAAGGCAAGUUGUGGUCCCCUCCCACAGAGGGCAAACAGAGACUCCGGAUGCUCCGGAACCAUCUGGUCAUGCAACCACAACUCAACAUGGGGCUCUUACAUCUAAAGUUAGGUGCUUUAUGUGUAGCCUGCCUUGGCCUGGUUAUUCCACAAAACCUCAAGCUCCAUGGCUGAGUCUGUGUAGAAACCAGGUCAAUCACACCACUGUUGGAUCGAUACCCUCCACCUCCCACCUGCUUGGACAACGGACUCUGAGGGAAAACCCUAAAUAAGAGAGGAUUGUGUCAUGCGAGGGUUCCCAAUUCAGGGAAAGCCCAACACUGUCAUGGAAAAACGAGAGGAAAGAGAAGGAACAUCUAUGCGGUGGUUUUGAGGUCAGGAAGGAGCAGACAUCUCAGUGACUUGGCCAACUGAGACACCCCUGAAGGCUUCUGACUUUUCAGUCUCCAAAUUGUUCCCAGGUUUGAGGACAAUGUGAGCCCUUGGCCCUAUUGACUCCUCUUCCCUCCACUCAUCCUGAGACUUUGCUCUGAUGGAUAUGAACUGGGAAGAAGAGAAGGGCAAACUUUCUUUUCUACUAGCUUGGCUCAUUUGUUGUCUUAUUACAAUGACUGCCUGGGUUAGUUCUGCAUUCACAUUUGAAGGCCUGUUUUUUCUGUAGAUCUCUAAGGAACAUACAUAGAAGGCCAAAGUUCCACAUCCACACUUUAAAGACACAUUUUACAAAAUCCUGCUGCUCCAAAUCUGUGUCGAUAGGGAAUCCUGCCCCAGACCAGCUUUCUUCUUCUCCCCUGCCCCAGAGAUUUCCAGCCAGUCAUUUCCAAUAAAGUAUUCCUGGGGUCACUUAUUGACUCCAAAUUUGUCAGAUGAAAAAGUCCACGUACUUGGGCAUGCCUUACAUUCACACCGGAAAGGGGGCAGCAGAGCCCAGGCAGCCUCAGUGACUUGUUUUCCUCUCCAGGAGACAGACCACUUGAGUCUGCCUUUGCUUUGUGGAUCACGCUGGUAAGGCCCUAAGAGUCCUUUCAUCUUAGCACAGUGUGUUCCUUGAACAUGACAAUUUCCACUUAGGGCCUGCCCUACUUUUCAUCCAGCGCCAGGGGAGGUUCUGUGAAAUUACGUGGCAGUUACCAUAUGUCAGUGGUUCAUCCACACAUAUUUCUCAACUCUUUUUUUUUAACCUAUAAAAUUCUCCACUUGCAUAAUUUUUUUCACAGUAUUAUCUUUAUUUAAGUAUCAGAAAUAUUUUCAGUUUUAAAAAAAAUGAACGCAGUUUUAAAAAAAUGGUUUCAGUGGUUUGAAGUAUUAGUAACUUGAUAGAAUGGAAAAAAUGGGAGUUUUAUCUUUUUUAUGUUGUUGUUCUUUUUAGUUAUACAUGAUAUGGAGUAUAACGUCCCAUUCUUGUGGUUGUACAUGAUGUGGAGUAACACUGGUCGUGUAUUCAUAUAUGAACACAGGGAAGUUACAGUCUUUCCCAUUCCAACCCCUUGCCUCCCCCCACCAUUCCCUCCUGUCCAAUCUGGUGAACUUCUACUCCCCUCAACCCGCCCAUUGUGAGUCAGCAUCUGCAUACCAGAGAGAACAUUCAGCCUUCGGUUUGGGGGGAUUGGCUUAUUUUUGCUUAGCAUGAUUCCACUUGUAUACUUUUCAG
rnacentral:lncRNA from 1 species